AUUGAACGCUGGCGGCAGGCCUAACACAUGCAAGUCGAACGAGGGGCGGACGGGUGAGUAAGAUCUGGGAAACUGCCUGAUGGAGGGGGAUAACCAGUGGAAACGGUAGCUAAUACCGCAUAACAUCAGAUGUGCCCAGAAGGGAUUUGCUUGUUGCUGGGGUAACGGCUAACGAAGGCGACGAUGCCUAGCUGGUCUGUGAGGAUGACCAGCCACAAUGGAACUGAGACACGGUCGAGACUCUUACGGUAGGCAGCAGUGGGGAAUAUUGAACAAUGGGCGCAAGCCUGAUGCAGCCAUGCCGCUUGUAUUAAGAAGGCCUUCGGGUUGUAAAGUACUUUCAGCGGGGAUGCGUUACCCGCAGAAGAAGCACCGGCUAACUCCGUGCCAGCAGCCGCGGUAAUAC
rnacentral:rRNA from 1 species